rnacentral:rRNA from 1 species
UAGGGAAUCUUCGGCAAUGGGGGGAACCCUGACCGAGCAACGCCGCGUGAGUGAAGAAGGUUUUCGGAUCGUAAAGCUCUGUUGUUAAGGAAGAACGAGUGUGAGAAUGGAAAGUUCAUGCUGUGACGGUACUUAACCAGAAAGGGACGGCUAACUACGUGCCAGCAGCCGCGGUAAUACGUAGGUCCCGAGCGUUGUCCGGAUUUAUUGGGCGUAAAGCGAGCGCAGGCGGUUAGAAAAGUCUGAAGUGAAAGGCAGUGGCUCAACCAUUGUAGGCUUUGGAAACUGUUUAACUUGAGUGCAGAAGGGGAGAGUGGAAUUCCAUGUGUAGCGGUGAAAUGCGUAGAUAUAUGGAGGAACACCGGUGGCGAAAGCGACUCUCUGGUCUGUAACUGACGCUGAGGCUCGAAAGCGUGGGGAGCGAACAGG